AACGAACGCUGGCGGCAUGCCUAACACAUGCAAGUCGAACGAAACCUCCGGGACUAUGGUCGCACGGGUGCGUAGGGCGUCGGAAGCUGCCCUUAUGGUCGGAAUAACUCUCAGACAGGGGUACUAAUGCGGGAUAAUGUCUUCUGACCAAAGAUUUAUCGACCUGGAAUGGGCGGGCGUUGGAUUAGCUAGUUGGUAGGGUAAUAGCCUACUAAGGCGACGAUCAAUAGCUGGGUUGAGAGGAUGAUCAGCCACUCUGGGACUGAGACACGGCCGAGACUCCUCCGGGAGGGAGCAGAGGCGAAUAUUGGACAAUGGGCGGAGUCAUGAUCGAGUAAUGCCGCGUGAGUGCUGAAGGCCUUAGAGUUGUAAAGCUCUUUUACCCGGGAUGAUAAUGACAGUACCGGGAGAAUAAGCCCCGGCUAACUCCGUG
rnacentral:rRNA from 1 species